UAGUUGCAGAUAAAAUAUCACAUUACUCAAAAACCGAAUGCGAAGUUAAAAGUAGUAGCAUUGUUUUUGAAAGGUUUAGUAACUGUAUCAGUCCUAUCUACUCACAAAUAGAUAAGUCUCUAGGGUUCUGCUCCCCCCUCCAGUUCAUACACAACUUAAAACAAUUAUUUGAAAAUCCUGAUUUUAUAAUACCUCCAGUGGGAACCUGCCCUGAAGACUGCGUGCAUGCGAAGAUGGAAUCUACUGUUUCAACUUCACCUUUGACAAAAGCUAGUAUUUUAUAAAAAAAAACUGUUAAACUCAGCUUUGCCUAAGAUGGUAGUUUUCUUUAUA